rnacentral:rRNA from 1 species
AAAGGGAGAUUAAUACAAGAUGUUAUCAUGAGUAAGCAUUUUCGCAUGAUUAAAGGUUUACCGGUGUAAGAUGGGGAUGCGUUCCAUUAGAUAGUAGGCGGGGUAACGGCCCACCUAGUCUUCGAUGGAUAGGGGUUCUGAGAGGAAGGUCCCCCACAUUGGAACUGAGACACGGUCCAAACUCCUACGGGAGGCAGCAGUGAGGAAUAUUGGUCAAUGGACGAGAGUCUGAACCAGCCAAGUAGCGUGAAGGAUGAAGGUUCUAUGGAUUGUAAACUUCUUUUAUACGGGAAUAAACGGAUCCACGUGUGGAUUUUUGCAUGUACCGUAUGAAUAAGGAUCGGCUAACUCCGUGCCAGCAGCCGCGGUAAUACGGAGGAUCCGAGCGUUAUCCGGAUUUAUUGGGUUUAAAGGGAGCGUAGAUGGGUUGUUAAGUCAGUUGUGAAAGUUUGCGGCUCAACCGUAAAAUUGCAAUUGAUACUGGCAGUCUUGAGUACAGUUGAGGUAGGCGGAAUUCGUGGUGUAGCGGUGAAAUGCUUAGAUA